rnacentral:rRNA from 1 species
GACGAACGCUGGCGGCGUGCUUAACACAUGCAAGUCGAACGGAAAGGCCCUGCUUUUGUGGGGCGCUCGAGUGGCGAACGGGUGAGUAAAACGUGAGUAACAUGCCCUUGACUUUGGGAUAACUUCACGAAACUGGGGCUCAUAUCGGAUAGGAGCUCUUGCUGCAUGGGGGGGGUUGGAAAGUUUCGGCGGUUGGGGAUGGACUCGCGGCUUACCAGCUUGUUGGUGGGGUAGUGGCUUACCAAGGCUUAGACGGGUAGCCGGCCUGAGAGGGUGACCGGCCACAUUGGGACUAAGGUACGGCCCAGACUCCUACGGGAGGCAGCAGUGGGGAGUAUUGCACAGUGAGCGGAAGCCUGAUGCAGCAACGCCGCGUGCGGGAUGACGGCCUUCGGGUUGUAAACCGCUUUCGCCUGUGACGAAGCGUGAGUGACGGUAAUGGGUAAAGAAGCACCGGCUAACUACGUG